GCUUAAAUAGUUUAAGGAAAAUUUUAAUUUGUGGAUUUAAAGAUACAGUUAUUGUUUUAGGCU
rnacentral:tRNA from 1 species